rnacentral:sRNA from 1 species
AUGUACCACGCGUGCACUCCGGUUCCUCCGCGCCGUCCGCACCCACCUGGCGACUGCUCGCUACGUUUUGUUAGCC